GUUGGGCAUGGUGACACAUGCCUGUAAUCCCAGCUGCUUGGGAGGCUAAGGCAGGAGGAUCACAAGUUUGAGGUUAGCCUGGGCAACUUAGUGAGACCCUGUCUCAA
rnacentral:sRNA from 1 species